rnacentral:lncRNA from 1 species
UGAUCACGUGCCGAAGCUGGUUCAGCUGUUUGCAUGUGUAUCUGGAGAGAAAUUUGUACAAUUUUCAACUUAUGCCCUCUCCAGGAUUGCUGUUGAUGCACCUCAUUAUGAAAAUUGGUCCAUGCGCUUUUGUCUUAGAAUAUAAAAUACACUGGAUAUUCAUAAUGCAAAGCUCCAAGUAAAUAAGUGAAAUCACAUACAAUAUAAGUGUAAAUAGUCGUCCAUAUUAACUUCCAACUGGUCGACAAAGUAUUUAUCAUUAGUGCCUCCCAUGGUGGCAACCAUGCACAACAGCAACGGUGAAAGAAUAUAUAUUGAUGGGGAUUUGUGAAAUUUAACCAUUGUUUUGUGUAUAACUUAGUCAUAUAAAAAAUAAAAAUUGGAUAUAGUUCAUCAAGUACACCUAUUCACCCCUCUAGCUAGGUGUGCAUUUUCAGAAUAAUUAUUUAGAAAUUAAGAAAAAAACAUAUAAAUUCAUAUUUUAAUGGUGAACACCCCCACACGAAUUCACCAAAAUGUUUUUGACAAAAAAAAUACUAGUUACAUUAUUGAAUUUUUUGCUUAGUUCAAGCUGUAAAAUCAAAUAUUAGAUAGUUUAAUAAUUUUUUAGUUAAUUUUCAAAAAAAAAAAAAUAAUGUACAAAAACAUAUUUUGUUAGAAACAGUUAUAAAGUCAAAAUCUUUAAAGUAUGCAUAUUUUGAGAGGAGUUUUAAGAUUGCGAUGAAAUACACAUAAUACAUGUAUAUAUUAAUCAAUAGUUAUCAAGUAUGUAGUAAGAUGAACACAAAAAGAAAAAGAAGUGUGAGGAAAGAGAUCCAAAGUGAAAAAAAAAUAGGUCAAAAUCAUAAAUUAGUAGUCAGUUUUAGGAGUAACAUGUGAGUAAAAAAAAGGAGGAACACUUGUAGUAUGAAGCUUGCUUAUUGAGUGGAGCACAUAGAGAAUCUUAAUUAGUCUUUAAACUAGAAUUCAUGAUAUAUGAAUCAUCAUUAUUUUAUAUGCAUUAAAUCAGCAAUAUUAU